rnacentral:rRNA from 1 species
AUGAACGCUGGCGGCGUGCCUAACACAUGCAAGUCGAGCGGCAGCGAGGGGUGCUUGCACCCUGUCGGCGAGCGGCGGACGGCUGAGUAACGCGUGGGAACGUGCCCCAAAGUGAGGAAUAACUGCCCGAAAGGGUAGCUAAUACCGCAUAUUAUCUUCGGAUCAAAGGAUUUAUCCGCUUUGGGAGCGGCUCGCGUCGGAUUAGGUAGUUGGUGAGGUAAUGGCUCACCAAGCCGACGAUCCGUAGCUGGUCUGAGAGGAUGACCAGCCAGACUGGAACUGAGACACGGUCCAGACUCCUACGGGAGGCAGCAGUGAGGAAUCUUCCACAAUGGGCGAAAGCCUGAUGGAGCAACGCUGCGCGCAGGACGAAGGCCUUCGGGUUGUAAACUGCUUUUAUAAGUGAGGAAUAUGACGGUAACUUAUGAAUAAGGAUCGGCUAACUACGUG